rnacentral:rRNA from 1 species
GAUACUUGGUGUGAAUUGCAGAAUCCCGCGAACCAUCGAGUCUUUGAACGCAAGUUGCGCCCGAAGCCAUUAGGCCGAGGGCACGUCUGCCUGGGCGUCACGCAUCGCGUCGCCACCCCCCCGCUCGUGCGUGCGGGGGCGGCGGAGAUUGGCCUCCCGUGC